AGACCCGAAACCCGGUGAUCUAGCCAUGGGCAGGUUGAAGGUUGGGUAACACUAACUGGAGGACCGAACCGACUAAUGUUGAAAAAUUAGCGGAUGACUUGUGGCUGGGGGUGAAAGGCCAAUCAAACCGGGAGAUAGCUGGUUCUCCCCGAAAGCUAUUUAGGUAGCGCCUCGUGAAUUCAUCUCCGGGGGUAGAGCACUGUUUCGGCAAGGGGGUCAUCCCGACUUACCAACCCGAUGCAAACUGCGAAUACCGGAGAAUGUUAUCACGGGAGACACACGGCGGGUGCUAACGUCCGUCGUGAAGAGGGAAACAACCCAGACCGCCAGCUAAGGUCCCAAAGUCAUGGUUAAGUGGGAAACGAUGUGGGAAGGCCCAGACAGCCAGGAUGUUGGCUUAGAAGCAGCCAUCAUUUAAAGAAAGCGUAAUAGCUCACUGGUCGAGUCGGCCUGCGCGGAAGAUGUAACGGGGCUAAACCAUGCACCGAAGCUGCGGCAGCGACACUGUGUGUUGUUGGGUAGGGGAGCGUUCUGUAAGCCUGUGAAGGUGUACUGUAAGG
rnacentral:rRNA from 1 species